GUCAGAAAGGCGAUUAGCAUACAGACUUCUCAUCAGUCCUUCUGAGUACUUUUCCACCCCUCCUGGAUGGACAAGAUCCCCAAAUCAUGCAGGUUGGCAAGGAUAGAUGAUCACUCUCAUUCUUCAGACCACAAAAAUGAAAGCUGCGUUAUGGAAUUUACAUUCUCAGAGAUAAUUCUGCUGGUGCCAGACUACAACUACUGAAGGAGAGAUGGAUUAGCAGAGUAUAAGCAUAAAAUAUAAAAGCAUUGCAGGAGCCCAUUGUGCAUUACAAAAUCAUAAAUGUAUGACUUUUCCUUUUAUUACUGGAUUAGAACAAAGGUUUGAACACUUACAUCAUUAUUUCUGACCACUUAGAGCCAAUAAUAUAUUUCUGUAGAAUUAUUUGGAAAGGAUUAUUGUUCUUAUGUAUUAGGGCAGAGGGGUUUUGUUUUGUUUUGUUUUGCUUUUUUAACAGAAUUUGUAAUCGUUACCAACACAGAAUAAAAUAAUUCCAUUAAAAAAAAAAAGAAUGGAUAAAAAACAUAUCAGAUUUUGCUUAAGAAUUCAUUUGUUAGAGGAUUAUUCCUCUUCAAUGAUUAGCCUGGUAAAAUGUAAAACCUAUGUACACACAACAUGAGCUGUGAUAGAUGUGGUUUGUGCCUAAAGUGCAAACUUCCUUUAUAUCUUGUGACCUUUUCUUUAGGUUGAACAGUUACGUUCGGGUUGCCAUAGCAAGAAAAAACAGUUGCAUCUCACAAUUCUGAACUGUGGUGGUCAAAACGGAUAAAAUUCUAACAGGUUGUAGCACAUAAUUCACAGUGGGAUAAGCAGAGCUGUGCAGAAAUAUACCUUCAAAUAGAUACAUUGAAAAAUUAUUUUUUAUUAAUUAAUUCAAUGAGGAUUAAACCAAGAUAACACAAUUGCUGAGAGGUCUGCAAUCAUUUCCCACAAUUCUUGUGGUUAGUCUUCUAUUUUGGAAUGAUAGUUCUGUCAAAAGGCAAUAAAUACCAAUUUUUAAUUAAAACAUUUCUUUCAAAUGUGUUUCAGAGAUUAUAAAACAUUUUUACUGGAGUUAAAUUUCAAAUAUUAAGCCUUUUUUCAUCCUUAAGGAAGUAAGUACAGAUAUUUAUUAUAUAAAGUUUUCUCUUCUAUGAACAAUAUCAGCUAAAACAUUGUCUAGGGAAUUUUAGAGACCUCUCUCUAAAGAGAGGGAACCUAAGUCCCUUCAAUUUUUCUUACAUUGCCAGUACCAAAAUGUGCAGAGUUGAAGGCUUAGAAAUUAUAGCCCGUCCCCCCACCCAAUCCAAACCAACUAACCAACCGACCCCCAAAAAAACCACUUAGUGACACCACAAUAUUUACACACACAUUUGCUGUGUUAUUUGGGAAUUCUUUGCCUGUAUUGUCUAGAUUGUUUUAGGAAGUUAUGGAGCUGAAAGGAAUAGGCUAAAAACCUCCUUCGUGAUCAUUCCUUAGCUUCUCAUUUUUUGAUGUAAGAGCGUCUCAUUAGCUUUCACAAGAAUCCAUAAAUUAGCUGUGAACCUAAAAUGAACAUUUCAUUUCUAUCACGGUGGUGCAUUUCCUCUUUUAAUCAUUUGAUCAUGUUUUUUUUAUUUAUAUAGGACAUUUUUAUCUCCUCAGAGUAUAACAAGAACAUUAAAAAGUUUUCUUUUUAAAGCUUGAACAAUAAAACUCUUUGUUAAAAUAAUGUGUUAUUUUAAAUUCAGAGAGUCCAUUGUUUGUGGUUUCUUUCUGCCUAUUACUUGUAAUGGAUGGGUAAUUGUUUCCAGUAGCUUGAUACGAGACCAGAGAGCCUUUCUCAACCUCAGAUUUCUUUCAAAUCCUCCUACAAACAAUAUAUUCAAAGCACUAAAUCAUGUUUACCAGAUGCACUGGAAAGAUGAACUUUUAUUAAUGGUGUUAUGGAAUAAAGCAGCAAAACUCCUUUUUGUUUGUUUGGUUGGUUUGGGGGUGUUUUUGGUAUAUGAUCUGAUUAUCUGUCCAAUUUUUCAAGAAAUGAAUAGAUUAUGAAAAGAAAGAUUUUUUUUUCCAUUCUCGGAAAAUAGUAUGUCUCAGCAAGUUUCGUAUUAAAUAGCCACAUGUUCAGCCAAAGAACUGUGGAAAUUUUCACUCAGAUUCAUUGGAGUUGCUAGAAUUGCGCAAUUAAUUGGUCAUUAGAAUCAUCAAUGUGAAGUAGCACAAACAAAAAGGAAAUCCUGCUAUUUUAAAAGUUUGGGUACUGUUUGCCAUGCACUCUUUGUUGAACCCAAAGGAUGAUAAGACCUCCAUUAUUUUUAUUUUGGGGAGCCAAAUGAUUCUUCUUAUCAUCAAUGGUCCUUGAGCACAAUGUCUGCCAAGGGAAAGGAUGCAAAUAGUAGUACUCUGCUUUGUGACCUCUAAUAUAUUAAGAGGAAAAUCAAGACCUGUAAAAGUAAUUAUGAACAGUUCUUUACUCCUGCAAAACAUAGCACAACUUUAAAGUUGGGAAAGGGGGAACAGAUAAAUAAAUCAAGGACAAAUAAACCCAGAAAUACUGAGCCCUAAAAUAUGUGUAUAUGUAAAUAUAUGUAACUUCAAGAGAAAUCCCUCUUUGCAGCUACUCAUGUGCAGACUCGUUAGAAUCUGCAAGUGAUCAUCUAACCGUGUCAGUGAACCCUGAUACCAUUUUGUCCCCUUCUCUGUGACAAACACAGAAACCUAUAUCCAGGAGAAGACUGAAUAACUGAGUGUUUCCAGCAAUAUACAAGCUUAAGUGACCUUUUCAAAGUCAACCUUCUUGUCCAGAAACCCCAGUUUGGGACUCGCUCCAGCUACUGGUGAGGGGGACAUUUUGGAUUCUGUGAUGCUCUCUCCACCAGCUGCUUUUCUGGGGGUGAUGGGGACACACUUCCAUUUAGAACACGAGGGUAAAUGAAAGAUCUCCUAUAAGACACUCCAGUGGCAUUAUGUAAUAAUGUACCAUUCUGAAUAUUACUCUUUUCUAAAACAAUUAGUUGAAAGAAUAGAUUUAGUUUUGUUGUUCAAGUUUUCCUAGUUUUGUCCAUUGGAAGCAUAAGCCAGUUCUCUACUGAGAUUUGCAUAAUGUAUAAAGGCAGAUAAUGUUGCACAUAUGCCUUAGUGACAGGCAUGCUGGAGAACUGUAGUCUAAAAGCUCUUAGGAAGUAUUGUUAAAAAUUGUAGGUUCUAGGAAAAAGAACCGGGUAGCACCAAUGUAUUGUUCUAUACCAUGCAUUAAAAGUAAGAAGAUUCAGAAUUCGUAAAUGUAUAACAUUUACCUUAAACAGAGGCAGUGAAAUAGCAGGUGAGACCCAUAUUCUCAGUGAAUCCUAUACUGUAUGUGCUUACUUUACAAAUGCUGCUUCCCUAAUGCUACUUUCCUGAUAACAGACACUCUGCAGGGUAGACCUUUGCAUUUCCAUAAUCCCCAUAUUGCUCCUUAGGGAAAAAAUCCAUUAACCAGUAAGACAGAGAUUCCUGUGAUGGAAAGGGUCUAGAUGUUCUGUCAGCACCUGUGGUGAAUCUGUAGGAUUUGUAGGUAAGGGAGGCUAAAGUAUGAUAGAAUUGCAUUUUAAGAAGUUGGUAAGAUUCUGUUUCUGCUAUAUAUAAAAGAUGCUAUUGAAUAGGAAGAAAGAAAGCCAAUUUCCCCGUGAAUUAGAUAAGUGCUCUUUCAGUGUAUUAUAGAUUUUAAGACAUUGCAAAAAAUCAAAGUAGUUCAGGAUAAAGAGGUUGUAUUAAUGGUUUAUUCUUAAACUAAAAGUUUUUUGCCACUGCCUAGGCAUUAUAAUACAGCCAGUUACAUAGUAAGUCUUACAUUACGGAAUUUCCAGUAGCACUGCCCAAAGAAUAUAUUUUUUUAGAAAUGUCAUAAAACACAAUGAUGACACCUAAUAAUCUCUAAGUGGACUUUAAAGAUUUUUGUAUUCUGUGAUAGGAUCUGUAACUUCAGCAGUUGGUUGGAGAAAAAAAGUUUCUAUGGUACACUGGACCGAUGAUUCAUUUUAGCAUAUUAUCCAACCCUUUUCUAUGUCUUUUGCUAUAGGCCCCAGCGGACUUUCAUUUUAAGCACUUAGAAAGACAUAUGGGCUUUUAUCAGAAGAAAGAAUGUCCCAUAUAUUUUUAAUCUUAUUUAGAUGUUCUUGGGACUCACUAAAGCUAUCUAACUUGUUUUUGAGUCGUUUUAGCCUCUUGAUCUCAACGACUGCUUCUGCAGAACUGUGUGGACUAAUUGCACAAUAUGCAAGGCAAAGAAAAAUCUUAACAGACCUUUGCAUUUCCCAAGUGAGUAAAAAACAAGUCUUCCAAUCUGACUCGAGAUCAUGAUUCAUUAGGUAUUGCAGCGGUUACUCAUUAAAGAAGUUUCAUCACAUUAUUUCUGACGUGCUCUAAAUUGGUUAUUAAAACCUUGAUGUUGCUAUAAUUUUAAACCAAAUAGGGAGGAUGUGAUUUUACCAAAUUAUUAUGAAUUAGAAAACAAGUUAGGCUUUAUACAUAGGAAACAUAGAAACAGAGGAAAAAUGAUCUAUUUUUAAAACAUCAUAUAGAUGAUUAGGAUUUAUAAUUGAGAAGAUUAGUGAUCCAGAAGAAAGAAUUUUUUAAUAAGUACAACAGUAAUUUUAUAUAGAAAUAACAACAUUAACUGCAAUUUGAAUGCCUGACAGCCUCUUGUAGUAUAAUGAAUAUAUUUGUAGCAAGAACGCUAAUUGUGUAAAUACUUAUCAAUCAGAGAUAUAGGGUUAUGAGUUAGAUUAAAGAAAAAUUUUUGCUUGAAAUUCAAAGCCUCAUUAUCUUUCAGAGUCUCAAUAACGUAACAAUUACACAGAACUUUUAAUUCACAUUUUUAGUCAGGACAGAGGAUAUCAGUUAAUGAUAAAGCCUGUUUGACUAAAUCCAGCAGGUUAGAUAACUUUUUAUAAAUACUAAAUUUUCUAAGGCCCUUUAUAAAUCUAAGUCACAGAUGAUCAACAAAACAAGCUUCUAAGCUAAGACUCCAUGCAGGAGACCCAACUCAGUCUCAAAGUGCACUGACAGAUUAACCCAGUUCGCUUGUGCAGACAUGAUGCUCCAUACAAGACUUUUUGAUGCACGUGAUAUAUAAUUCGCUUUCUGUGCAAGAAAAAUGUACAAUAGCAUUUGUAAGCGAGCAAAAGAGAAAAAUUUGUAAUACCUGAAUGAUUU